rnacentral:rRNA from 1 species
UACGUAGGGGGCUAGCGUUGUCCGGAAUCAUUGGGCGUAAAGAGCGUGUAGGCGGUCCGGUAAGUCCGCUGUGAAAGUCCAGGGCUCAACCCUGGAAAGCGGGUGGAUACUGCCGGGCUAGAAUCCGGAAGAGGCGAGUGGAAUUCCUGGUGUAGCGGUGGAAUGCGCAGAUAUCAGGAGGAACACCAAUAGCGAAGGCAGCUCGCUGGGACGGUACUGACGCUGAGACGCGAAAGCGUGGGGAGCGAACAGG